CGCUGUCACCGCCAUGGCUGCACCGUGUUUGCUGCGGCAAGGACGAGCCGGGGCGCUGAAGAUGUAGUGGAACCAAAGGAGAGGGGCAAGCUCCUAGCCACCCAGACAGCAGCUGAAUUGUCUAAAAACUUAUCUUCACCCAGUUCUUACCCGCCGGCUGUGAAUAAGGGCGGGAAGGUAGCUAGUCCCAGUCCCAGUGGCAGCGUGCUGUUCACAGAUGAAGGGGUUCCAAAAUUUUUGUCAAGAAAGACUUUGGUAGAGUUUCCACAGAAAGUUCUGUCUCCAUUCAGAAAACAGGGCUCUGAUUCAGAAGCUCGUCAGAUGGGUCGGAAAGUGACGUCGCCUUCGUCUUCAUCCUCGUCCAGCUCCUCUGAUUCUGAAUCUGAUGAUGAGGCUGAUGUUUCAGAGGUCACUCCUCGAGUGGUGAGCAAAGGCAGAGGGGGGCUUCGAAAAACAGAGGCCUCUCAUUCCUUUGAAAACAGAGCCCCCCGAGUUACAGUAUCAGCAAAAGAGAAAACCUUGCUGCAGAAACCGCAUGCAGACAUCACUGAUCCAGAGAAGCCCCACCAGCCAAAGAAGAAAGGGCCCCCUGCUAAGCCAUCAGAAGGCAGGGAAGAUGCGAGACCAAAAACCACAAUGCCCAGAUCUCAAGUAGAUGAAGAGUUUUUGAAGCAAAGUUUAAAGGAAAAACAAUUGCAGAAAACAUUUAGAUUAAAUGAAAUAGAUAAAGAAAGCCAAAAGCCAUUUGAAGUUAAAGGACCCUUACCUGUCCACACAAAAUCAGGGUUGUCUGUGCCACCGAAGGGCAGCC
rnacentral:sRNA from 1 species